AAGACCACCUUUAAGGCUGCUAACCUUUAUACAAUGCUCUCAUUUGGUCUUU
rnacentral:tRNA from 1 species